AGCCUGAUCCAGCCAUGCCGCGUGAGUGAUGAAGGCCCUAGGGUUGUAAAGCUCUUUCACCGGUGAAGAUAAUGACGGUAGCCGGAGAAGAAGCCCCGGCUAACUCCGUGCCAGCAGCCGCGGUAAUACGGAGGGGGCUAGCGUUGUUCGGAAUUACUGGGCGUAAAGCGCACGUAGGCGGGUAUCCAAGUUGGGGGUGAAAUCCCGGGGCUCAACCCCGGAACUGCCUCCAAAACUGGGUACCUAGAGUCCGAGAGAGGUGAGUGGAAUUCCCAGUGUAGAGGUGAAAUUCGUAGAUAUUGGGAAGAACACCAGUGGCGAAGGCGGCUCACUGGCUCGGUACUGACGCUGAGGUGCGACAGCGUGGGGAGCAAAACAGGAUUAGAUACCCUGGUAGUCCACGCCGUAAA
rnacentral:rRNA from 1 species